GGUUGUUGUCUUUCUUGGACGUUUCCUCCCUAAACUCGGCGGUGGCGCAAGCCACUGCCCUUUUUUUGUCUGAA
rnacentral:sRNA from 1 species